UUUUUAAAGGACACUUAAUUACUAUUUUGUAGCAAAAUGUUUUAUAAUUAGAUUCAUUUUCAUGUUGUGAAGAAUAAAACUUUCUACAUCAGAUGAGAUAUAUGUUAAAGAAAGCAUUAAAAAUAAGAAUAACAAAUCAUACCGCUUUUCAUUGCCAGAACCUCCGCCACCUAUUAUGAAUAAGCCCAAUGCUAAAAAGUUGUUAUCAGAUUCAAAGAUUGAAGAAGAUAAUUUUUCUUCACAUUUUAUUGAUGAACACCAAGCAAAGUUCACAUUUUCAAAGAGUUUUAAGUUUUAAUAGAUGCAAAAUGUUAUUCUCAAGGAGCUUGCAGAAAUAAAAGUUCUUUUAAAAGAAGUUAUAGAAAUUAAGUUUCAGGCUACUGGGGUGAAGUUGCUAGAAUCGGUGGACAAAGUGGUUACACUGGAUAAUAAACUAAAAGAUAAAACCGAGUAUACUAAUUUGCUUGAUAGUUUAAAAAAGAUUGGUGGUGGAAAGCCAAGAGAACAUGUUUUUUUGAUCAUGAAAAGUUACAGUCCAAAUUAAAUCGAAAAGGAAAUGGGGAAAAGAUAAGCUUAGAAAAUCUAGUAAAUAUAUGGAGUGUUUUACGAGAUAUCGGCGACGUGGAAGAAAAUGUUGACGGCAAUGCAGAAAUAUAGUUUCUUAUGUAUAUUUUUGUGAAAUAAAAAUUAAAUAAUGUUAGUUAAAA
rnacentral:misc_RNA from 1 species